rnacentral:rRNA from 1 species
UACGAAGGGUGCAAGCGUUACUCGGAAUUACUGGGCGUAAAGCGUGCGUAGGUGGUUCGUUAAGUCUGUCGUGAAAGCCCCGGGCUCAACCUGGGAAUGGCGAUGGAUACUGGCGGGCUAGAGUGCGGUAGAGGAGAGUGGAAUUCCCGGUGUAGCAGUGAAAUGCGUAGAGAUCGGGAGGAACACCAGUGGCGAAGGCGGCCUUCUGGACCAGCACUGACACUCAAGCACGAAAGCGUGGGGAGCAAACAGGG